GUGCUUGCUUCGGCAGCACACAUACUAAAAUUGGAACAAUACAGAGAAGAUUAGCAUAGCCCCUGCACAAGGAAGACAUGCAAAUUCGUGGAGCAUUCCAUUUUUGU